ACAACAACAUUCGGACCGUCGGAUCGGUCUACCGAGCAAUAUCACCCGCUCGGUGGAAGAUCUUCCCUUUGUCGGUAAAU
rnacentral:pre_miRNA from 1 species